rnacentral:rRNA from 1 species
CGGGAGCAGAGUGACAGGUGGUGCAUGGUUGUCGUCAGCUCGUGUCGUGAGAUGUUGGGUUAAGUCCCGCAACGAGCGCAACCCUUGAUCUUAGUUGCCAUCAUUAAGUUGGGCACUCUAAGGUGACUGCCGGUGACAAACCGGAGGAAGGUGGGGAUGACGUCAAAUCAUCAUGCCCCUUAUGACCUGGGCUACACACGUGCUACAAUGGACGGUACAAAGAGCUGCAAGACCGCGAGGUGGAGCUAAUCUCAUAAAACCGUUCUCAGUUCGGAUUGUAGGCUGCAACUCGCCUACAUGAAGCUGGAAUCGCUAGUAAUCGCGGAUCAGCAUGCCGCGGUGAAUACGUUCCCGGGCCUUGUACACACCGCCCGUCACACCACG